GAAAGGCUUCGGCCGGACAGGGAUGGGCAUGCGGCGCAUUAGGCAGUAGGCGGGGUAACGGCCCACCUAACCGACGAUGCGUAGGGGUUCUGAGAGGAAGGUCCCCCACACUGGUACUGAGACACGGACCAGACUCCUACGGGAGGCAGCAGCGAGGAAUAUUGGUCAAUGGUCGGGAGACUGAACCAGCCAAGCCGCGUGAGGGAGGAAGGUACAGAGUAUCGUAAACCUCUUUUGUCAGGGAACAAAGACUGGGACGCGUCCCCGGAUGAGUGUACCUGAAGAAAAAGCAUCGGCUAACUCCGUGCCAGCAGCCGCGGUAAUACGGAGGAUGCGAGCGUUAUCCGGAUUUAUUGGGUUUAAAGGGUGCGCAGGCGGUCUGUUAAGUCAGCGGUCAAAGCCCGGGGCUCAACCCCGGCCCGCCGUUGAAACUGGCAGUCUCGAGUUGGAGAGAAGUAUGCGGAAUGCGCGGUGUAGCGGUGAAAUGCAUAGAUAUCGCGCAGAACUCCGAUUGCGAAGGCAGCAUGCCGGCUCCACACUGACGCUGAGGCACGAAAGCGUGGGUAUCGAACAGGAUUAGAUACCCUGGUAGUCCACGCAGUAAACGAUGAAUGCUGGCUGUCCGGGGGGACUGACCCCUGG
rnacentral:rRNA from 1 species